UACGGGGGGAGCAAGCGUUGUUCGGAUUUACUGGGCGUAAAGGGCGCGUAGGCGGCCACCGCAAGUCGGUUGUGAAAUCUCUGGGCUUAACCCAGAAAGGUCAACCGAUACUGCGGGGCUAGAGUGCAGAAGGGGCAACUGGAAUUCUCGGUGUAGCGGUGAAAUGCGUAGAUAUCGAGAGGAACACCUGCGGCGAAGGCGGGUUGCUGGGCUGACACUGACGCUGAUGCGCGAAAGCCAGGGGAGCGAACGGG
rnacentral:rRNA from 1 species